GCCUGUUUAGCUCAGUCGGUAGAGCAAGCGGCUGUUAACCGCUAGGCCGUAGGUUCAAGUCCUACAACAGGCGCCA
rnacentral:tRNA from 2 species